rnacentral:tRNA from 1 species
GGAAGAUUAGCUCAGCUGGGAGAGCGUUCGCCGCCUAGCAAGAAAUGUCGUGGGUUCGAGUCCCUUAUCUUCCACCA